UCGGCCCCGCGCUCCGCCUAUAGGGGGCGGUGAGGGCGGGGCGCGGGGCGCGCGGACGACCGUUGGGCGGCCCAGCCUGUGGUAGGCGCUCGGCGCCCUGCCUGCCCCCACAGAACCUGGGGGAGGCUCCUGUGGGCCUGUUGCCGUGUCGGUAACCGUGCCAGAGUCGGAGACGGUCGCAGACUUCAGUGUUAGCCGUGGGGCCGGCCCGGUCAGGCGUUAAGUGCCGCCAGGGAAGGGGGGUGCGGUAGUUCCCUGGCCCGGGGCUGUGUUGCCGCCGUCGUGUGGUGGGCUGCGAGCGCGCGUCUGCAAGCGGCGGGCCGCGAGCCUGAGGUCUCUCUUCACACAGAAAACCUGUCAGCCCUCCGAGAUGCAGAAAUUCAAAAUGAGUGCUGGCUGUUUCUCUGCCUCAUCAAGGGAUAAUUAGGAGGACUGAAGUACAAUUAAAGAAGAGCUGAUAAGAAAGCGCUCUGGAAGAUGGAGCAUAAAGUUCAGCAGAUCUAGUAAUGUAGAGAGGUGCUGGUAUAUCCCUGCCAGUCCUAGGUAGGUGGAUUUAGAGUUAAAGGUAUCUGUAGGAUGUCAUUAUUUUCAAUUAUUAUUCUUACAAAACAGUACUAGGAUAGUGAUAUUUAAAUUCAUAUUCACAUGUACUAUGUUACCUAAGUGUGCAGAAUCAAAUACAAAGACACGGCUGUUAUACCUGUUUUUCAAAACUUCCACAAUCUGUUUUUUGACAAUGAUAAAGAAUAGAAGGGAGCAUUAACAUAAGAGAAUGUUGUAUUUACAACUUGAAUCCCAUUUUAAUGUAUUUAAAUAUAUAAAAUACUUCCUUUUAUAAUGGCUGUAAUGGUGGCUUAAUUUAAUUGGAAUGGCUGUAUUUUAAAAAAUGAUUUCUCACAGAAAGGGUGUAAAAAUAUAAAAUUCAUGUAAAAAAUAUAAAAAUGGCAUCACUUUAUCUAUAAAUUAAAAAAACCAAAGGUUUUUGUAGUAUCUAACUGCAUUUUUAGUGUGUUCAUUAAUUAGGAAUUGUGAUACCAGUGAAAUUGUAUCUUUUCCAUCAUUUUACAUUAAACUUUUAGUACAGUUUCUGUACUAUUCUGCCUAAAGACUUGUUCCCAAAGAAAAAAAAGCAUGAAAUUUUAGCUUAAUGGCAACAGUUUCCUUAUGGGACAAAAAGUAUUGCCUUUGGGGGGGGAAAAAAAAGGCAGAAAAAAUGAGAAUGUUUAUUAAACUCUAAAAUAGAUAUUGUCUCUGAGUUGUGGCUUUCUGUUAAAUUCAAGUUGUUUUCUGGGCAACUGAAAUGUAAUAUUACCUAUAUGGCUUACUGCAAUAGUUUUUUUGUUUGUUUUUGGUUUUGUUUGCAUUUUGAAUAAUGAUGUGCAGAUGACAUUUUAAUAAGGGUAUCUUACAAAUGUUUUCUUCCUUAGCUU
rnacentral:lncRNA from 1 species